CCAGCCCGCACGCCGCGCGAGGCUCCCCGUCUUACCUGCGAUCUGCGCGGCCAGGAGGAGCCAGAGCCCCGGCUGCAUCUUGGAGCGCCCGGGACACCUGAUCCCAGCGGGACGCGGCGGAGACCGUCCAGGCUGGCGGUCUUGGGUGCGUUUCCAAAGAACCCGCUAGGACCCCAUGCUUUCCGAUGAAGAGGUGACACCGCUGUCCUGCGCCACGCAAUUGCAGAGCACACGGAGGGAAAGAGAACAAAGUGAGCAACCUCUUUGUGUCAUUUAAUAUGUCUGCGCACUGCUUAAGCCCCCAGGCCUUGAAUUCCUCAUCUGCUAAAUGGGGUUAAGAUACCAGCCUUGCCUGCGUAAGUGGGUUGUCAUCAGAGACAGAGGAAAUCAGCGAUCUGAUUUUAAAUUGUCAGUUGAACUUCCAGAAGCUAAGCCAAGCUUUCUGAGUGAGUAGGAACCUCUGGCAGGGGGCACACUCUGUCAGUUCAUGGGGGACUAUGUCGAUUGUCUCAACAUUUCAGUGGGGAGGAGCCACCGGCAUUUUGUAGGUGGGGAUCAGGGGUGCCAGAUGUUCUGCAACUGUGGGAUGGUACCAGUCAGCAAACAAUGAAUACUCCCCAACCUCCAAGAUUCUCAAAGUCCUUCCAGGCCUACAUCCAGGUGAGUUACUCGUCCAUCAUGACCCGAGCCCAGAAAUGAGCUCCGUUUUAUAGAUGAACAAAGCCUUCCUUGCUUCUUUCUGUCUUUGUAUCUCAUUCUCUUUCAUCUUAGUACCUGGAACAACAAUUGGAAUUUAAUAUUUGUUAACUAAAUGUAGAGGUAAAUGCCUGUUUUUCUGUUGAGUUAUUUAUACUUUCUUAUUAAUUGGUAAAUGCUAUUUGUCUGUUAAGGCUAUUAUCAGUUAGGGCUCAAUCAGAACACAAACUGUUCCACUAAUUUAAACAGAGAAAAUAAAUACCAAAAAAAUUAAACUAAUAAAAUGUUAACUACCAAAAGUGGUACAAGGCAACUCUGAGGCAGGGAUUGGCAAACUUUUUCUGUAAAGGGCCAGGUGGUAAAUAGUAUAGGCUCUGUGGAAUAUUUAUGUAUAAUAAUACAGAAUACAAAUCUCCACAACCUUUGUACUGAUAAAAUUAAAAAUAUAACAGUAGGGGUGUCUGGGUGGCUCAGUCAGUUAAGUGCCUGACUCUUAAUUUGGGCUCAGGUCAUGAUCUCAGGAUUGUGACGUGGAGCCCUGAGUGAGGUUCUGGUGUCGAGGGGGUGGGGUGGGGUGGGUGAGUCUGCUUAAGAUCCUCUCCCUCUCCCUUAGCCCCUCCCCCAUUUGAACUUGUACUCACACACUGUCUCUCUCUAAUAAAUAAAUCAGUGAAAUCUUUUAAAAAUAAUAAAUAAAAAUAUAAUAGUAAGUGAGUACAAGCUUUGGGAUAAAGUUCUUUAAUGAGAAGAAUGGGAUGCACUUUGUUGGGAUAACAUUUUGCUUAGUUGAGGUUCAAAUAUAAGAA